UGUUUCAUGUUUCCAGAUUUGAAGAGAUCGAUUUGUUUGCUGUUUAAUAAUGAUUUACGAUGUGUUUUGUCAUAUCUAGGGUUUGCUUGUGGUCUUUCGUAUCCGUCAAAACCCUAAUCGACCGGAGAAAUCGUCAAAAGUUCUUCACAAUAUGAUCGUUCCACAUAAUUUGCAGAUAUGCAUCCCUUACACAACAGUCCUUCAUUUUUAAAGCUUAUUGAUGAAGAUGACCCGAUAUUUUUGGUGAAGAGCUUCUUUCAGACUCCUUCCCCUACAAGGAACUAUUGAAUGGGUUCCUAUGAGAAGUUGAAGAAAACUUAUGGAUAAUGAAAACAACGCUCCUUCGUUAUUAAAGUCGAUUGAGGACUAUGAUCCUAUAUUUUUCGAAUUGUUCGUCGACCAAAAACAGUUAUGGAUCAUGAAAACAACGCUCCUUCGUUGUUAAAGUUGAUUGGGGACUAUGAUCCUAUAUUUUUGAAAAUACCAUAUGAUUUUGCAACCUUAUUGUGGGGAGAACAACUUUCAUAUGUCAAUGUCUUAAAAUUAUUGAUGAUGAUUUAUCGUGAGUCAUUGAGUUAUAAUUUUUGUAUUUAGUUAGUUGUUAAUUCUUUAAAGAUGACUUUGAUUUCAAUUUUAAAGUUGUUUUUGUUUCUAUAAA
rnacentral:lncRNA from 1 species